rnacentral:rRNA from 1 species
AACGAACGCUGGCGGCAUGCCUAACACAUGCAAGUCGAACGAGACCUUCGGGUCUAGUGGCGCACGUCGGCGUAACGCCUGGUAACCUGCCCUUAGGUUCGGAAUACCUCCCUGAAAGGGAUGCUAAUACCGGAUAAUGUCUUCGGACCAAAGAUUUAUCGCCUUUGGAUGGGCCCGGGUUGGAUUAGCUAGUUGGUAGGGUAAAAGCCUACCAAGGCGACGAUCCAUAGCUGGUCUGAGAAGAUGAUCAGCCACACUGGGACUGAGACACGGCCCAGACUCCUACGCGAGGCAGCAGUGGGGAAUAUUGGACACUAGGCCAAGGCCUGAUCCAGCAAUGCCGCGUAAGUGGUGAAGGCCGUAGGGUUGUAAAGCUCUUUUAGCCGGGAUGAUAAUGACAGUACCGGGAGAAUAAGCUCCGGCUAACUCCGUG